UUGACCUCAAAUCAGGUAGGACUACCCGCUGAACUUAAGCAUAUCAAUAAGCGGAGGAAAAGAAACUAACAAGGAUUCCCCUAGUAACUGCGAGUGAAGCGGGAAAAGCUCAAAUUUAAAAUCUGAUAGUCUUUAUGGCUGUCCGA
rnacentral:rRNA from 1 species